GCUCUGAUCCUGUGUCUCCCGCUUUCAUCUCUCCAUUGUGUCUUUCUUGUGUUAAUUCCCCGAGUCAUUCCAGACAGACCACGGAUGUCUGCAGAGGACGAGAAAAGAGGCUCUGCUGGAUGGAGGCCAUGCAGAGUGACAAUGAGGAAGACGGGUUAGAACACCCGUCACCCUAAUGUCUCCCCGCCUUAUCAUGAGGAGCUCAUAAAGAUCCGCUCCCUUCUCCUCAAGUAGGCCAAUAUCCAUGUCAGCCACAUGAAGGAAAGUUAGAUCCAUCCGAUGCACUCCUCCAGAUCCCCGCAUAUUCUGACUACAUUGGAGUCUAAAGAUAUUUCCUUGAUUUCACCCCACUAGAUCAACCUAUGCUUCUGUAAACUGAGCUAGAAGGGAGCGUCGAUAUGCAGAGCGGCACUGAGGGAGGGACUCAUAAACCUCUGUUAAUACUGCAUUAUUAUUAUUGUCCUCAUUUCAGCUGCAUUGUACAUUAGUUCUGCACAAAAUUUUAUCAAUUAAUGUAGCCUUUGAAUGUUUUUAGUUUUAUAGAUGAAGAGUAACAGUAAUUUUUCAAAAAGCACGAUUGAAUGUCAUGAUUUGUCCCCUGCAAUAAUUUCUACAUUGAUUUAACUUCUCUCUUAUCACUAAUUCAGUGGUGCACAUUUUUCUCUCCUUGUGUUCUUUUAAAAUAAAAUGAGGAAUCUAGAUGUAAUGGUUAUAGUUUUAUAUGAAAAAUAAUUUCCCCUGUGUUUUAAAAUAACUGACCUUACCUUGUGUGCUUUGAGUGCACGUAUGUAGGUUUGGGAAAAACAAAGCGUGGCCUCGAUGUGCUUUUAUCUGAGAGUUUAGAGACCUUGUCUGUGUCACUGCGAGGCUAAAAACCAAGAGCUUAUUUUAAAUUGUCCGUGUUUGUAUUAAAGGCGAGCAGGUAUGAGUGGUGCUGGGCCUGGAGUGGGCGUGGGUGAGGGGCCCAAUGUGGAAAACGUUGUUCCCCGGUCCAUCGUGCCUAAUGACUGCCCUGCCAAAACAUGUUUUAUUUCUUUCCUUCCCUUUCCAAAGGGGCAGUUAGAAUUAAGAGAAAACGGAAGUUCCUUGUAGUUGCUUUAAGAUGUUUUAUAGGGUAUAUAAUUGCAAUAAUUCACUAAUACAGAAGUUACAUAAGUGUAUGUCAAAGCACUGUUUACCUAAAAAAUGAAUACCUUUAGUUUUGUUCAGUGCUCAUUUCCAGUCAGCAGUGCAUGUCAUUACUCUGAACAGCUUUAGUUCUAUUUAACAAUUAUCACGGUUGAUUCAAGCACUUCAGAUUGUAAUUGCAUUGCAUUUAGUUAACUAUGCAGUCAGCUUUCUGAAGCACAACAUAUAGACAUAAAUACCACUUCUGUCUCAGAUAUAUUAUACAUGUAGCCUUGUCGCUUACAGACGAUCCUAAAACUGUGAUCACAUUUUAGGUUCAUUAACAUGCUUUGACAUGGGCGAGCUUUGGCACUUAUAGAUUUGAAUAACAAUGCCAGCAGUCAACAUUGCUGGAGCUUGUAGAUGUAUUAGGAGUUUUAAAAUGCUUUUCCAAUGUCACUUUUGUGACGAUCAGUACAAUUGCUGUUGCAUAAAGCCCUUUAGAAACAUGAAUUCCACUGUGAUUGACAAGUGAA